rnacentral:misc_RNA from 1 species
CCUCCCUACCUCUCUCUGGCACCUCCGCACCCUCCUUCCCGCGUCGCACCAUUCCUUUCCCCUGUGUCUCGCCUUUCUCUCCAGCACCCGCACGUGCGUCGUUUGUUUCCCUCCUUGUCCCUCAAAUCUUUUUUUCGUGCUUCGGAAAAGAAGCACCACCACCACCACCACCACCUCCCCCUUCCCUCUCUUUGAGCGGAGAUGCCGGUUCGCCGCUACGGUGGGCGCUACAACAACUCCUCGCCCGGCGUGUCGAAUGCACUGAGCCCGAGCACCACCGCCGGUCGGCCGCUAUCGCCGUCGCCAGCAGCGGGCUCGAAGCUCGCGUCCACGCACCACGAUCCUGUCCCACAGGAGGCGUACUACGUGAAUGAUGAAGCGGACGCUCGGCACCAGCAGCAGGCCCCCUUCCGGGAGCCAAGCGUCGAGGUUGAGGUGGAGAUGAUAGACGACGAGCCGCCGCAUGGUUCGCAGAAGCCGUUGAGCGUGGCGCCGUACACCGCGAACGCCAGCAACAGCAGCGGCAGGUCGAAACGCAACGCCAUAACGGCGUCUGGCUACACCUUUUACACCAAUGAGCGCCAGAAAACUGUCUAUGAGGCGUUGCGCUCGCUGCGGCCUUUGGCGGAGCUGCAAGAGCCGCGCCGCGUGAAAGAGUACGCGGAGACGUCGCUCAAGGACUCGCUCUACCGCAUUAUCGAGGCACACGACGUGAUCAUGGUGGCCGGCGCCUUUUUCGGCGACGAGGGCAAGGGCAAGACCGUGGAUGCGGUGGCCCACCACCCGCUCUGCACGUGCAUCGCGCGCGUAAACAGCGGCGAGAACGCCGGCCACACCGUCUACGACAAGGCCGGCCGCAAGUUCGUCUUCAACCUCGCACCGUCCGGUCUGCUGUUGCCUGGCAAGAGAAACUACAUCGGACCCGAGUGCGUCAUGGACCCCGUCAGCUUCAUGGAGAAGGAGGUUAUUCAGCUGAUCGACGCCGGUAUCGACUACCGCGACCGCCUCUUCAUCGGCAAUGUAUGCAUUGUAACGCCGUACCACAAGCUUCUGGACCUGCUCGGCUCAGCGGCGAACUCGUCAACGCUGAAGGGCAUGGCGCCCGUUCACGGCAGCAAAGUAAUGAAGCGUGGCAUCCGCCUGGACCACAUCUUCAACGACGACGAGACGCUGCGCAAGCGGCUGGAGAAGGACAUGGACACGUACCUUGGUCUGCUCAAGGUGAAGAACCUCUCGGACGCCGACGUAGUGCGCCUCUGCCGCGAAGAGAACAGCGACGGCGUUGUGCGCGUGCCUGACUACGUCAUUGCGUUCGCGCAGGCGAAGGUCAAGGUCGAGUUCCUCGUGAAGCUGUAUCGCGACCGUGUGCGGCACAACCCGGACUUCCCCGCUCGCUGCGAUGUCACCUACGAGCUGCAUGCGGCGGUGCUGCGUGGCGAGAAAGUGUUGCUCGAGGGCCCGCAGUCGUACUGGCUUAGCAACGCGCGCACAAAGUUCUGGGAGAGCACGACGUCGGCAGACACAACGGCGGCCGGGCUACUGGCGGCCUCCCAGCUGAACUUCCAGAAGUUCAAAUCUGUCGUGCUGAACGUGCACAAGGCGCCGGGGUCCAGCCGGGUCGGCAUUGGUGCCUGCCCCAGCAGCUUCGUCCCGCAGGACUACUUCAGUGCCCAGAACAUCAAGACGCUGCGCGACUUGCCGUCGGAGACGUGUGCCAACUUCGAGGCUGUGCAGCGCACGCUCUUCCGCGACGGCUUCCCACACAGCAAUGACAAGGCGAGGCACAACGGCAUCAUGGCCCCGGUAGAGUACUCGGACGAGACCGGCAAGUACAACAUCGGCGUCGCCAUGGCUAUCGCUUCGGCACAGCACCACGGCGAAUGCGGCGCCGUCACGAAGAAGCCGCGCGUGUGCGGCUUCUUCGACUGCGUCCUUCAGCACGAGGUGAACAGCAUCCAAGGUCCGUACCUUACCAUCUCCGCCCUCGACCGCGGAGACGAGUACGAUAAGGUCGGCGUGACCAUCGCCUACGUCUACUACAACCCAGAGGGCAAGCAGGUGGACGUGAAUGGGCACGUGUACAAGAACGGCGACAUCAUCCGCGCCGGCGAUCCGGUGCCGAGCGAGCCUGCUCUCUACCACUGCCAUCCGAUUGUAAAGUUGAUCGACGGCUGGCGCGACAACCCGAUCGCCGCGGCGAAGCGCCGCCGCAACGCACCGCUGCCGCGCGGCGUGUGCGAGCUUCUUUCCACCAUCGAGUACUUCACCAACUGCAAGAUCCUCUCGAUCGGCAACGGGCCGAACGGAGACGACAUCAUCUACCUCCGGCAGUAACGCCGCUUGAUUCUGUGCUGUUGCUCGGGCUCUGCAAAGGAGUUAGGGGCGUCGGCACGGAUGGCGGAGACGUGGGAGCGUUCCCGGUAACAGCGGGGCGUAGCCAGCGGCAGCCUCGCAGAGGGGAGCGGCCACCCGGAAGCGAGAGAGACAGAGAGAUUAGUACCCAUCGAGGGCAGCCGCAAAAGACGACGACCCCUGCGCUGGCACACCUCACGGCAGGUUCUCCAGCACAGACAGACACACACAUGCCGACAAACAAGAUGUUGAAGCUGUAUACGUCCUUGUGCGUGAAUGAGAAAGACUCCUCUGCAACGGGAGAAGCAGCAAAACUGCACUAGCGCCCACCAUCCACCGCCACCACCAUCGCUGCAGGUAUCCCUCUUGCUGCGGUCCUCUCUACAUGGCCCUCCUCCCCCUUCUUCCUCUCUCCUACGCACCUCUAUUUCACGCGCACCUCUCUACCUGAAUAAGGGAAUGUGCGUGCGUGUGGGUGUGCGCGUGCUGCAGCAGCCUCUAUCGUCUCCCUUGCCUCUUCCUCCCGUCUAUGCGAAAGAGGCCGAGUCGUUGAGUACCGUUGUAGCCUCUACGCACGCACAUUGGUCACUCCAGCUCUCAUGUAUAUGUGUGUGUGUGUCUGGUGCGUCUGUGGGGGCUCGGAAUGGGUAGAAGGGAGAAGAAGGGGGAGUGCUUGGAAGGCAGAGAAGGCCACCAGCAGAACAAAACCCUGAAGGGAUGUGCGCCGACGGUUAAAGGUAACUGUGUGGGCUGAGAAACAAAAAAAAACGCAAGGAUAGCGACGAGGUGGACACUUCAGAAGCGUGGCAACGAGCAGGUUGGCGGGCGGGGGCUUGCUUAUAAAAAGCAGCCGUAGCAGAAGGACAGGAUAGCACUAUCCCUCCCUCCCUCCCUCCCCCUUUCACUCUUUCCUCGCCUUUCAACACUACAGUGUCAGUGCGCGCUUCACUGCGAGCUGCAGCAGCCCG